GCCUGGGUGGCUCAGUCGGUUGAGCGUCUGACUUCGGCUCAGGUCAUGAUCUCAUGGUUCGUGGGUUCAAGCCCCGCGUCGGGCU
rnacentral:tRNA from 1 species